UCGAGUUGGGAGCAGCAGGACCCCUAAAGGAGAGGAACUUUCCUACUGAUUUACCUUACCGAAGAUAUCUGCAAAAAUGGGCAUUUAAUGAAGUGGAAAUCUGAGUGCUGAGUUCGACAGAGUUGUCACCAAAAACCUGCUGGAGUCAUUUCUGGAAGGACUAGAUGCCACAAUGGCAAGUCUGUUGGAGCUCUACAAAGCUGGGGUGGCAUCAAAGAGGAGGUCAAACCUGAGCAGUGUUCUACAGUGUCUUCAACAGGAGGACACAAACCAACACAAAAGAACAGCUGCCUUACUUGGUCGUUCGCACUAUCUGGCUGAGGAUUCGUCAGACGUAAUAAGGAUGUGUGAUGCUCAUGGAGAAACCCUUGAUGAGAGGAAUGCAGGUUGGACUGUUAAUUGGACAUGAGGAAUCUCUGCACGGUGCAUUUGCUCUCAAAGUCUUCAACGUGGCUGUGGUGGUAUAAGAGACAAUCAUUCUUCAUGACCUACAGGAUGUGCCCACAGGCUUCGCCAUGCUGAUGGGAACAACAUACUGCCUGAACCUCCAGUAACCCACAACUUGUCU